GACAGAGGGUGCAAACGUUGUUCGGAAUUACUGGGCGUAAAGCGCGUGUAGGCGGCCCUGCAAGUCGGGUGUGAAAUCCCAUGGCUCAACUAUGGAAGUGCACUCGAAACUGCAGGGCUAGAGUCCUGGAGAGGAAGGUGGAAUGCUUGGUGUAGAGGUGAAAUUCGUAGAUAUCAAGCGGAACACCGGUGGCGAAGGCGGCCUUCUGGACAGUGACUGACGCUGAGACGCGAAAGCGUGGGGAGCAAACAGG
rnacentral:rRNA from 1 species